rnacentral:rRNA from 1 species
CAACUCUUAGCGGUGGAUCACUUGGCUCGUGCGACGAUGAAGAACGCAGCUAGCUGCGAGAAUUAAUGUGAAUUGCAGGACACAUUGAUCAU